GUCCUAGCCGUAAACGGUGCACGUUUGCUGUAAGAGGAUUCGACCCCUCUUGUGGCGUAGCCAACGCGUUAAACGUGCCGCCUGGGAAGUACGGUCGCAAGAUUAAAACUCAAAGAAAUUGACGGGGCCUGCACAAGCGGUGGAGUAUGUGGCUUAAUUCGAUGCAACGCGAAGAACCUUACCUGGCCUUGACAUGUAGGUAGUAGAAGCCUGAAAGGGUGACGAGGUAGCAAUACAAGCUUACACAGGUGCUGCAUGGCUGUCGU
rnacentral:rRNA from 1 species